rnacentral:tRNA from 1 species
GGUAUGGCUCAGUGGUACAGCACUUGCCUAGUAUGCAUGAGGCCCUGGGCUCAAUCCCCAGAACCA